rnacentral:rRNA from 1 species
GAUGAACGCUGGCGGCGUGCUUAACACAUGCAAGUCGAACGGAAAGGCCCUGCUUUUGUGGGGUGCUCGUGUGGCGAACGGGUGUGUGACACGCGUGUAACCCGCCCUUGUCUUUGGGAUAACUUCAGGAAACUGGGGCUAAUAUCGGAUAGGAGCUCCUGCUGCGUGGGGGGGGUUGGAGAGUUUCGGCGGUUGUGGAUGGACUCGCGGCUUAUCAGCUUGUUGGGGGGGUAGUGGCUUACCAAGGCUUUGACGGGUAGCCGGCCUGAGAGGGUGACCGGCCACAUUGGGACUGAGAUACGGCGCAGACUCCUACGGGAGGCAGAAGUGGGGAAUAUUGCACAAUGGGCGGAAGCCUGAUGCAGCGACGCCGCGUGCGGGAUGACGGCCUUCGGGUUGUAAACCGCUUUCGCCUGUGACGAAGCGUGAGUGACGGUAACGGGUCAAGAAGCACCGGCUAACUACGUG